CGGCAGGGGCGGAGCCGCCGCCGCUCAGUGCUCCGCGGGCCGGGCGAGGCGCUGUGCGCCAGCCUCCGGCUCGCUGCCCCGCGCAGCCCCGGCCCCCCGCAGCGCGGGAGAGGGGCCGGCAGGGAAGGGCCGGACAACCCCCGGCAGGCCGAGGGAGAGACUAGCGCGGGCAGGCAGCCAGCCGCUGGGAGCGGGGGCAGCCGCGGGCAGCCCGCAGAGGCGGUGGAAUUUGGACCUGAAUGAGGCUGUGUGGUGCAUAUGCACACAAUCCAAUGGAGAUCUGUCAAACUUUGUGCACUCCGACUACCAGUUUAGCAUAAGAACAUAGGAGCUGCCCUACCAGCACAGAAAAAUGGUCUCUGCUUCUGACAACGGUCAAUGCCAGAUGCCUUAGAGCUGGGAUGCCAUAGCACGGCAAGCAUGGAGCCUGCUCAGCUCACCGCUGCUGUUGCGAGCAUUGGAAACACCUCACGCUUUAUACUGCAGUAUGUGCAGAACCUGGCUAAAAGAUGGCAGCAGGAGGACGAUUGUGAUGAGGACAUGGACACAGAUGUUCCUGA